GGUAUAGGGAAAUAUAAGUUUGACUUCUACCUACUCCUUUUCGGACACUAUUACUCUUGUUUUGUUUGUUAUUAUUUUGGAUCUGUUUUUAGUUAUUUUAUGGUCGAAAUAAAGUCUUUCAUUCAUCUCAGGUGAAUUGUAAUCAUGUGAUCAAAACGAGCACCCCCUUCCACCCUGAAAUGAAAUGAAAAAAAAAAAAAAGUGUGGAACAAAAAGCAGUUCUGUGCAUUUAUGAAAAAAGAAAAGAAAAGAAGAAGAAGAAAAAAGCUUGUGUCUUCCCUUUUUUUCUACCGUCACUCUUUGUCCGCGUCUCAACAAACUCUGACAUAAAGAGAUAAAAUGCUCCAGGAGCGCAGCGACGCAGCCCCGGGCAGCUGCGGUGGGACUGUCCGGCUCCUGGAGCUCUAAACCUGGGCAUCUUCACAGAGACACUCCGGGGGAUUUGCGGCCCGGUCCUCGGUUUUGACGUGUCCUCAACAACAGCUGUGAAAUAAGUUCUCCCUCCGCCGAGCUGUAUCUAUAAAAGGAAGAUGCAACCAGCCAACCAUCCAUCAUCAGGGUACCAAUGUGUUACAGCAGAGAUGAGACACACACAAUACAAACCAGUUAACGGUCACCAUGCUGGUAAAACUGGGACUUUCACUGGAGCCAGUUUCCAUAGGAACAUGUCUCCUGUGGCAUUAGGGGGACUGAGAGUCACCAGAGACACGGUGAUGAAAGGGGGGGCGAGUAUACAGUACUAAGUGCUCUGAUAACACGAUUCAUAGGGGGAGGGAGGGAUGGGAUGGGAUGGGAGAAAGGAUGUAAGGGCAGCGAUGCAACAUCUACAUUUUAAACAAGGUGCAAGAGGUGACUCUUAGUGGAGACCUUUCUGAUCCAUAUUACUAAGUGGGAACGUAAAUGAGGACGAGAGAAAUGUGUAGUUGGAGACUGUCUUUUGACCCAAGUCAAAAGACAUUUUCAAAAAGCUUUUAUGUUUUGCUUUAUCCUACUUAUCUUCCUAAUGAUUUGCCAAGGAGCACUCCACUGAGAGGAGUUCAUUAAUUACAGAAACAUGUUUCAGAAAUCACAGAUUUUCACAUAGUUUACAUUUCUGUAAUCUUUAUUUUUGGUUGUUAAUCUAGUCCAGAUUUUAGAUUUUAUUUAUUUCAUCAUUUUUGGUUUUGGGUUGGGAAUGUUUAGUUUUAGUUUUUUAAUUUAUUUGCACAAUUAUUUGGAUACAAAAUACAUACUAUAGGAAGAAACUGUAAUUUCAGUGCAGGAGAGGAAGGAAGUCUGAAAGGCUUAUUCAGAAUCCUCCCUGUUUUAAAUAAAUAAAAAAGUGACAUUAUUACUCAUCAAAAGCGAAACAAAAAGGACAAUACAAAAACCUAACUUACAAAGAACACACAGCACAAAGAAUAACUAUGUACACAACACUCAUAAGCGAGCAUAAGCAGUAGAAAAAGAAAAGAAAAGAAGAGAAAGAAAACAACAAAAACUAACCUAGGGUAAGUAGAUAUGUACAACCAAGUUAAUGUAGAGAGAAGUAGAAAAUAAUAAAAGAAGAAAGUAUGUUCAGACGUAUCUGUGUGGUGCAAAUAUUCAUGCAUGCAGGAUUGUGUCCUGAAAUGAUUAGUCAGUUAAUCUAUUAGUUGACUGAAAAAAAAA